rnacentral:rRNA from 1 species
UACGAAGGGGGCUAGCGUUGCUCGGAAUCACUGGGCGUAAAGGGUGCGUAGGCGGAUCUUUAAGUCAGGGGUGAAAUUCUGGAGCUCAACUCCAGAACUGCCUUUGAUACUGAGGAUCUCGAGUUCGGGAGAGGUGAGUGGAACUGCGAGUGUAGAGGUGAAAUUCGUAGAUAUUCGCAAGAACACCAGUGGCGAAGGCGGCUCACUGGCCCGAUACUGACGCUGAGGCACGAAAGCGUGGGGAGCAAACAGG